rnacentral:rRNA from 1 species
CCUACGGGGGGCUGCAGUGAGGAAUUUUGGUCAAUGGACGAGAGUCUGAACCAGCCAAGUAGCGUGAAGGAUGACUGCCCUAUGGGUUGUAAACUUCUUUUAUAUGGGAAUAAAAUGUUCCACGUGUGGGAUUUUGUAUGUACCAUAUGAAUAAGGAUCGGCUAACUCCGUGCCAGCAGCCGCGGUAAUACGGAGGAUCCGAGCGUUAUCCGGAUUUAUUGGGUUUAAAGGGAGCGUAGGUGGAUUGUUAAGUCAGUUGUGAAAGUUUACGGCUCAAACGUAAAAUUGCAGUUGAAACUGGCAGUCUUGAGUACAGUAGGGGUGGGCGGAAUUCGUGGUGUAGCGGUGAAAUGCUUAGAUAUCACGAAGAACUCCGAUUGCGAAGGCAGUUCACUGGACUGCAACUGACACUGAGGCUCGAAAGUGUGGGUAUCAAACAGGAUUAGAUACCCUGGUAGUC